CGGACGGGUGAGUAACGCGUGAGAACCUACCUUCAGAAUGGGGACAACAGUUGGAAACGACUGCUAAUACCCAAUGUGCCGAAAGGUGAAAGAUUUAUCGUCUGAAGAUGGGCUCGCGUCUGAUUAGCUAGAUGGUGGGGUAAGAGCCUACCAUGGCAACGAUCAGUAGCUGGUCUGAGAGGAUGAGCAGCCACACUGGGACUGAGACACGGCCCAGACUCCUACGGGAGGCAGCAGUGGGGAAUUUUCCGCAAUGGGCGAAAGCCUGACGGAGCAAUACCGCGUGAGGGAGGAAGGUCCUUGGAUUGUAAACCUCUUUUAUCAGGGAAGAAGUUCUGACGGUACCUGAUGAAUAAGCAUCGGCUAACUCCGUGCCAGCAGCCGCGGUAAUACGGAGGAUGCAAGCGUUAUCCGGAAUUAUUGGGCGUAAAGCGUCCGUAGGUGGUUAUGCAAGUCUGCCGUUAAAAAAUGGAGCUUAACUCCAUAGGAGCGGUGGAAACUGCAAGACUAGAGUACAGUAGGGGUAGCAGGAAUUCCCAGUGUAGCGGUGAAAUGCGUAGAUAUUGGGAAGAACAUCGGUGGCGAAAGCGUGCUACUGGGCUGAAACUGACACUGAGGGACGAAAGCUAGGGUAGCGAAAGGGAUUAGAUACCCCUGUAGUC
rnacentral:rRNA from 1 species